rnacentral:rRNA from 1 species
ACGGAUAUCUCGGCUCUCGCAUCGAUGAAGAACGUAGCGAAAUGCGAUACCUGGUGUGAAUUGCAGAAUCCCGCGAACCAUCGAGUCUUUGAACGCAAGUUGCGCCCGAGGCCUCUUGGCCGAGGGCACGCCUGCCUGGGCGUCACGCCAAACACGCUCCCACCCAACUAACUUGGGGUGGGACGCGGCAUGUGGCUCCUCGUCCCGCAAGGGGCGGUGGGCCAAAGAUCCGGCUGCCGGCCUAUCGUACCGGACACAGCGCGUGGU